ensembl:snRNA U6 U6 spliceosomal RNA
AUGUUUGGUUUGGCAGCACAUAUGCUAAAAUUGGAACAAUGGAGAGAAGAUUAGCAUAGUGCAUGCACAAGGGUGGCAUGCAAAUAUAGAAGUGUUCCAAAUUAUU